AACGAACGCUGGCGGCAGGCCUAACACAUGCAAGUCGAGCGAGGACUUCGGUCCUAGCGGCGGACGGGUGAGCAACGCGUGGGAACGUGCCCUUUGCUACGGAAUAGCCCUGGGAAACUGGGAGUAAUACCGUAUGUGCCCGAGAGGGGAAAGAUUUAUCGGCAAAGGAUCGGCCCGCGUUGGAUUAGGUAGUUGGUGGGGUAAUGGCCUACCAAGCCGACGAUCCAUAGCUGGUUUGAGAGGAUGAUCAGCCACACUGGGACUGAGACACGGCCCAGACUCCUACGGGAGGCAGCAGUGGGGAAUCUUAGACAAUGGGCGCAAGCCUGAUCUAGCCAUGCCGCGUGAGCGAUGAAGGCCUUAGGGUUGUAAAGCUCUUUCAGUGGGGAAGAUAAUGACGGUACCCACAGAAGAAGCCCCGGCUAACUCCGUGCCAGCAGCCGCAGUAAUAC
rnacentral:rRNA from 1 species